UCCGCCUUGCGACGGCAGUUCCGCUAGAGUGAUACAACUAGCAGUAGGGGUUGCGCUCGUUAACCCACUUAAGGGUACGCCUCACGGUACGAGCUGACGACAGCCAUGCAACACCUGUGCAAAACCCUCGAAGGAGUCCCAUUUUCAUGGGAUUAGCAUUUGCAUGUCAAGCCUGGGUAAGGUUCUUGGGUUAUCAGCCAAUUAAAGAGCAUGCUCCACCGCUUGUGCGGGUCCCCGCCAAUUCCUUUGAGUUUUAGCCUUGCGACCGUACUCCCCAGGCGGCCUGCUUAACGCGUUAGCUUCGACACUCAACCUAAGCCAAGUAUCUAGCAGGCAUAGUUUACGGCGUGGAGUAC
rnacentral:misc_RNA from 1 species